UUUUCCUUUUCGAUCGCUUCAAGUUCUUUAACAUAACUUAUGGUCCAAUCUGAGAUCUCCUUACUAGACACAAUUUUUCUUUCAUGUACGAGGCGGUUUCGGCUUGUCUAGAGUGUCCAAAGCCCAUAACAGAAAAUUCUACAUUGAUUACUAGUAGCUAUUCGAAACACCCAGGGCAGUCACGAAACACAUGGAUAGAAUCCUCCGUAGAAUUGCAGCAUCCUGGUUACAAAGUAUUCACUGCAAUCCUUCUGUAAUUUAGAUUGACAAAAGUAGGAAUAAAAUUCCAUGAAAAUCUCCAAAUCAUAGUUUUAAUUUUCGGAGGAAUUUGUAAAUUCCAUAGCUUUUUGUAGAAAUGUCUAGAAUAAGCAUGUGAUGUAUUAUCAGUAGGAAGACGUGAACCAAUUUGUAAUAAUUUAUAGGCGCUUCUCACAGUAAAAUCACCGGUCAUUUCACCACACUAAACUUGUAUUCUUCAGAGAUUGUCCUCGCCAAUGGAAUUUGCAUAAUAGUAUUUACGACAUCCAUAGAUGUAUUAAAAAUUAA